rnacentral:rRNA from 1 species
CAGCCAUGCCGCGUGUGUGAAGAAGGCCUUUUGGUUGUAAAGCACUUUAAGCAGUGAAGAAGACCUAACGGUUAAUACCCGUUAGCGAUGACAUUAGCUGCAGAAUAAGCACCGGCUAACUCUGUGCCAGCAGCCGCGGUAAUACAGAGGGUGCAAGCGUUAAUCGGAAUUACUGGGCGUAAAGCGAGCGUAGGUGGCUUGAUAAGUCAGAUGUGAAAUCCCCGGGCUUAACCUGGGAACUGCAUCUGAUACUGUUGGGCUAGAGUAGGUGAGAGGGAGGUAGAAUUUCAGGUGUAGCGGUGAAAUGCGUAGAGAUCUGAAGGAAUACCGAUGGCGAAGGCAGCCUCCUGGCAUCAUACUGACACUGAGGUUCGAAAGCGUGGGUAGCAAACAGGAUUAGAUACCCUGGUAGUCCACGCCGUAAACGAUGUCUACUAGUCGUUGGGGAACUUGAUUCCUUAGUGACGCAGCUAACGCAAUAAGUAGACCGCCUGGGGAGUACGGCCGCAAGGUUAAAACUCAAAUGAAUUGACGGGGGCCCGCACAAGCGGUGGAGCAUGUGGUUUAAUUCGAUGCAACGCGAAGAACCUUACCUGGUCUUGACAUAUCUAGAAUCCUGCAGAGAUGCGGGAGUGCCUUCGGGAAUUAGAAUACAGGUGCUGCAUGGCUGUCGUCAGCCCGUGUCGUGAGAUGUUGGGUUAAGUCCCGCAACGAGCGCAACCCUUUUCCUUAGUUACCAGCGGUUUGGCCGGGGACUCUAAGGAUACUGCCAGUGACAAACUGGAGGAAGGCGGGGACGACGUCAAGUCAUCAUGGCCCUUACGACCAGGGCUACACACGUGCUACAAUGGUAGGUACAGAGGGCAGCUACACAGCGAUGUGAUGCGAAUCUCAAAAAGCCUAUCGUAGUCCAGAUUGGAGUCUGCAACUCGACUCCAUGAAGUAGGAAUCGCUAGUAAUCGCGGAUCAGAAUGCCGCGGUGAAUACGUUCCCGGGCCUUGUACACACCGCCCGUCACACCAUGGGAGUUGAUUGCACCAGAAGUGGGUAGCCUAACUUUUAGAGGCGCUCACCACGGUGUG